rnacentral:rRNA from 1 species
AUGGAACAAUACAUCCACCUCUGGGAGCUCUUGUCGGAUAUCCAGCUUCAUCCUGACACUGAGGACUCCAUUACCUGGUCCUUGACCCCUAAUGGGUGCUACUCGGCAAGCUCCGCCUACAAGAUCCAGUUCCUUGCCUCUUUGCCAUGCCAGUUCGGGAACAUCGUGUGGAAGACCUGGGCCCCUCCAAAGUGCCGUUUCUUCGCCUAGCUCGCUGUCCAGAACCGCUUAUGGACCGCUGAUCGCUUGGCGAAACGCGGAUGGACGCACCAACCUACUUGCCAGCUCUGUCGUACCUCCCCUGAGACAGCACGACACAUUCUCUUCGAGUGUCGCUUCUCCAGACGUAUCUGGACGGCCGCAGCCUCUUGGUUGUCUUGUCCAGACCUCAUCAGCAGCAUCGGGGAGGGUAGGCCUAAAGUCGUGGACUAUUGGCUGGCCGUUUCGAAGUCCACCACCUCCUCCCCUAUAGGCUUGCGCUCAGCUAUCACGCUCAUCACUUGGGAGAUCUGGAAAGAGAGGAACGAUAGAGUUUUCAACAAUAAGUCCUCCCUGCCUUCGGUUGUCAUGCACAAGAUUAGGGAAGAGGGGAAGGACUGGAUCCUCGCCAGUGCUAAAAAUCUGGCGGAACUUGUAGGCUGA